UACAGAGGUCUCAAGCGUUGUUCGGAUUCAUUGGGCGUAAAGGGUGCGUAGGCGGCGAAGUAAGUCGGAUGUGAAAUCCCGGGGCUCAACCCCGGAACUGCAUUCGAUACUGCUUCGCUUGAGGACUGGAGAGGAGACUGGAAUUUACGGUGUAGCAGUGAAAUGCGUAGAUAUCGUAAGGAAGACCAGUGGCGAAGGCGGGUCUCUGGACAGUUCCUGACGCUGAGGCACGAGGGCCAGGGGAGCGAACGGG
rnacentral:rRNA from 1 species